AUGGAGGUGGCGAUGGUGGAGUGGUGGCCAUGGUUCGGAUCGGCGGUGGCGAGCACCAUCUUCCUAUGGUCCAUGGUGCAGAACCACAUCCCGGACGCCCUCCGCCUCAACCUCGCCGCUUUGGCCGCCAAGCUCACCGCCUACUUCAACCCUUACCUCCAGAUCACCAUCUCGGAGAACGGCGCCCAGCGCUGGAAGCGAAGCGAACUCUUCCUCGCCGUCGAGGCCUACCUGAGCGACGCAUGUGCCCGUCGCGCGCGCAGGCUCAAAGCUGAGCUCGGCAAGGACAGCAAGAACAUCCAGGUCUCCAUCGACGACCACGAGGGAGUCACCGAUGACUUCUCCGGCGCCACGCUCUGGUGGCACGCCUCCAAGCAGCGACCCAAGGCCAAUGUCAUCAGUUUGUACCCUGGCGAGGACGAGAAGCGCUUCUACCGGGUCACCUUCCAUAAGCGACACCACGACCUCAUCGUCGAUUCUUACCUGCCUUUCGUCCUCGGUGAGGGCCGCACCGUCAUUAUCAAGAACCGCCAGCGCCGCCUCUUCACCAACAAGGCCAGCGGCAGCUCGAGCCCUUACGGGGCCAAGAGCGCCUGGAGCCAUGUACCGUUCGAGCACCCGGCGACCUUCGACACCCUUGCCAUGAACCUGAAACAGAAGGAGGACGUCAUCGACGACCUCAUGGCAUUCCAAGAGAGCAAGGAGUACUAUGCUAAGGUCGGCAAGGCGUGGAAGCGCGGGUACCUCCUUUACGGCCCGCCCGGCACCGGCAAGUCCACUAUGAUAGCCGCCAUGGCCAACUUCCUCGACUACGACGUCUACGACCUCGAGCUCACGGCCAUCAACAACAACACCGAGUUGCGGAAGCUCUUCAUCGAGACGACGGGCAAGUCCAUCAUCGUCAUAGAGGACAUUGACUGCUCCGCUGACCUCACCGGAAAACGCCGCAAGGACAAGAAGGCCUCUCGCGACAAGGACUCCGAUGGCAACGACAAACCCAAGCUACCAAUCGAGCCAGAGAAGGAUGACGCGACCAAGGUGACGCUCUCUGGCCUGCUCAACUUCAUCGACGGGCUGUGGUCUGCGUGCGGCGGCGAGCGGAUCAUCAUCUUCACCACCAACUACAAGGAGAAGCUGGACCCGGCACUGAUCCGGCGGGGCAGGAUGGACAAGCACAUUGAGAUGUCUUACUGCCGCUUUGAGAGCUUCAAGGUACUCGCCAAGAACUACCUAGAUGUCGUCGGGCAUGAGCUGUUUGGGGAGAUUCAGCAGCUGCUCGAGGAGACCGACAUGUCGCCCGCUGACGUGGCGGAGAACCUGAUGCCCAUGUCCAAGAAGAAAAAGAGGGACCCUGACGUGUGCUUGGCAGGCCUCAUCGAGGCGCUCAAGCAGGCCAAAGAAGACGCGGCGGUCGCCAAGGCGAAGGAGGAAGAGAAGGCCAAGGAGGCUGAAGCGAAGAAAGCCAAGGAGAAAGAGGAGGCUGAAGUGAAGAAAGCCAAGGAGAAAGAGGAAGGGAAGGACAAAACAUCAGAGGAAGCCAUUGGAGACAACAUGCAAGCUGACAAGAUACAGGAGUAG
rnacentral:rRNA from 1 species